rnacentral:rRNA from 1 species
UUAGAGGUUGCUUUUGGCUCAGGAUGAACGCUAGCGGCAGGCUUAACACAUGCAAGUCGAGGGGCAGCAUGUCCAGCAAUGGAUGAUGGCGACCGGCGGAAGGGUGCGUAACGCGUGAGCAACAUGCCCUAUACAGGGAGAUACACCAGGGAAACUUGGUCUAAUAUCCCAUAGCAUUCAUUGAAGGCAUCUUUAAUGAAUUAAAGCUUCGGUGGUAUAGGAUUGGCUCGCGUGACAUUAGCCAGAUGGUGAGGUAACGGCUCACCAUAGCAAUGAUGUCUAGGGGUUUUGAGAGGAAGGCCCCCCACACUGGGACUGAGACACGGCCCAGACUCCUACGGGAGGCAGCAGUGAGGAAUAUUGGACAAUGGAUGGAAAAUCUGAUCCAGCCAUGCCGCGUGCAGGAAGACGGCCUUAUGGGUUGUAAACUGCUUUUAUACGGGAGCAAUAAGGGUUACGAGUAAUCCGAUGAGAGUACUGUAUGAAUAAGGAUCGGUUAACUCCGUGCCAGCAGCCGCGGUAAUACGGAGGAUCCGAGCGUUAUCCGGAAUUAUUGGGUUUAAAGGGUGCGUAGGCGGCCAUUUAAGUCAGCGGUGAAAUUUUGCAGCUUAACUGUAACAGUGCCGUUGAUACUGUUUGGCUAGGAUUUGGUUGUAGUGUGCGGAAUGUGUGGUGUAGCGGUGAAAUGCUUAGAUAUCACACAGAACACCGAUUGCGAAGGCAGCACACUAAGUCAUUAUUGACGCUGAGGCACGAAAGUGUGGGGAUCAAAAGGGAUUAGAUACCCUGGUAGUCCACACUGU